AUAUCUCAAUUGGAUAAUCCAGGCACAAAAAUACAUUGUAGCUUGGUGCUUAUUAAGUUUAUGUUUUAUGCAUUUCCAUUACAGGAGUUAAUAUGUUUCUUGGUUUCUAUGUUCUCAGAUCUCCUAAGAUACCCAGUCUUUAAAGUAUUAUACAAAAUAUCAGUCAGGAUGAAGGCUCAGAUCAGUUUCAUCUAUAUGCUAUGCCUGCCUGACCUGGAGAACUUGGUGUUAAAGGAAAUGUGUUUAUCAAAUGUGUCAUCUUAUCCUUGGAGGGCAACUGAGGAUCAGAGCACAGCUGCCUUGAAUUGUUCCAUCAAGUUAUUCCAUUGCAGUUAAGUGGAACAUCAAAAAACGUCAAGAAGCCUAAAACAUGGAAACUUGUUUCAUUUUCUCAAACAAUGGCACUAACCAAAGCAAACGAAACUUUGACAAGAAAGAAGCAAUUGUUUAGCCUUGUCAUGUCCUCACAGUUAAUAACACAAAGGGUAUAUUCACAGUGCAAAGAUACUUUCCCUUUCUCUCAAAAUAGGAGACUACGUAUUGUAAGAUAUUUUACAGACGUCCUUCCUCAUAGAACUCUGUAAACUUUACUAUCUCAAGAACAAAAUCAAAGUUUCAAUUCACGGGACUGAUUCAUCUUGCAUUUUAGGUAUUCUAAUGGUAUAUUUGUACUGUGUGUUGCAACCUAUAGAAUAAAUGUACUUCUUCUUCAUGUUUCCUGUUUGCUGAUGACAGAUACCAGUGGCUCACCUUUCGGCCUAUGAAACAAUGAUUUCUUU
rnacentral:lncRNA from 1 species